rnacentral:rRNA from 1 species
CCUACGGGAGGCAGCAGUGAGGAAUAUUGGUCAAUGGGCGCGAGCCUGAACCAGCCAAGUAGCGUGAAGGAUGACUGCCCUACGGGUUGUAAACUUCUUUUAUAAAGGAAUAAAGUGAGCCAUGUGUGCCUUUUUGUCUGUACUUUAUGAAUAAGCAUCGGCUAAAUCCGUGCCAGCAGCCGCGGUAAUACGGGGGAUGCGUGCGUUAUCCGGAUUUAUUGGGUGUAAAGGGAGCGUAGAUGGGUUGAUAAGUCAGUUGUGAAAGUUUGCGGCUCAACCGUAAAAUUGCAAUUGAAACUGGCAGUCUUGAGUACAGUUGAGGUAGGCGGAAUUCGUAGUGUAGCGGUGAAAUGCUUAGAUAUCACGAAGAACUCCGAUUGCGAAGGCAGCUUACUAAACUGCCACUGACAGUGAGGCGCGAAAGUGUGGGUAUCAAACAGGAUUAGAUACCCGAGUAGUC